rnacentral:lncRNA from 1 species
GGGAAAUCCAUGAAGCAAAAGAAGCCAAAUACUUUCUUACUUUGUAGCCUUAGCCUCCCAGUCUUCAGAUGUACACAGGAUAUCAUUUAAAAUACUUAGCUUACUGUGGGUAUAAGCUCUUCUCUGGGUAGAUUAUUUAAAAUUUUUAUUUAUUUAUUUUUUUGGUACCUGGGUUGCCUAACCACUGAGCUACAUCCCUACCCCUUUUUAUUUUUUUAAUUUUGAGACAGGGCCUCGCUAAGUUGCUGAGGCUGGUAUUGAACCUGCAAUCCUCCUGCCUCAACCUCCAGAGUCCCCGCAAAUUACAGGUGUUUGCCACCACGCUGGGCUCUGUGCAUUUUUAAAAUAGACUUUGAAUUGUCUGGUUGGAUCUGAAGACACGGCAGAUUGAGAUCACUUAAUUGAGAAUCCCUUCUUACCAUUUUAGAUCGCACAUCCUACCAACUUUCAUAUAAGGUUAAAAGGUUGUAAGCCAUGACGUGGCCUCUGGAGAAUCACCCUCUGGUGUGUGACUAGAGGGAACACCUAUCGCACUGACCCCAUCCACAUCAGCACUGUACACAUCAGUAGUCAGACUUCCACUUGGAUGACUCUUUUUUGUUUCUGAUGAGCCCCCCAAACAUGAAAGGAACCCAUUUUUGUUCUAUUUUCCAAAUUCAACUUUUUUGAUUGGCACAUAAUAGUUGUAUGUAUUUGUGGGGUACGAUGCAAUGUUUCAAGUCAUGUAUUACACGUUGUGUAAUGAUCGAACCAAGGGAAUUAGUAGAUCUGUCACCUUAAACUCUUCUCCUUUCUUGAUGGUGAAAUUGCAUUCGAAUCUCAUUUUUUUUACAUACAUACACAGUGCAUUAAUGUUAACUAUAUUCAACCUGGGGUGCCACAGAGCACCAGAACUUAUUUCUCC